rnacentral:rRNA from 1 species
GACGGAGGGUGCAAGCGUUAAUCGGAAUUACUGGGCGUAAAGCGCGCGUAGGCGGUUUUUUAAGUCGGAUGUGAAAGCCCCGGGCUCAACCUGGGAACUGCAUCCGAUACUGGAAGACUAGAAUGCGGGAGAGGGAGGUAGAAUUCCAUGUGUAGCAGUGAAAUGCGUAGAUAUAUGGAGGAAUACCAGUGGCGAAGGCGGCCUCCUGGCUCGACAUUGACGCUGAGGUGCGAAAGCGUGGGGAGCAAACGGG